rnacentral:rRNA from 1 species
AUGCAAGUCGAACGGUGAAGCCCCGCUUGCGGGGUGGAUCAGUGGCGAACGGGUGAGUAACACGUGAGCAAUCUGCCCCUGACUCUGGGAUAAGCGCUGGAAACGGCGUCUAAUACUGGAUACGAACCGUGGAGGCAUCUUCAACGGUUGGAAAGAUUUUUUGGUCAGGGAUGAGCUCGCGGCCUAUCAGCUUGUUGGUGAGGUAAUGGCUCACCAAGGCGUCGACGGGUAGCCGGCCUGAGAGGGUGACCGGCCACACUGGGACUGAGACACGGCCCAGACUCCUACGGGAGGCAGCAGUGGGGAAUAUUGCACAAUGGGCGAAAGCCUGAUGCAGCAACGCCGCGUGAGGGAUGACGGCCUUCGGGUUGUAAACCUCUUUUAGCAGGGAAGAAGCGAAAGUGACGGUACCUGCAGAAAAAGCGCCGGCUAACUACGUGCCAGCAGCCGCGGUAAUACGUAGGGCGCAAGCGUUAUCCGGAAUUAUUGGGCGUAAAGAGCUCGUAGGCGGUUUGUCGCGUCUGCUGUGAAAUCCCGAGGCUCAACCUCGGGUCUGCAGUGGGUACGGGCAGACUAGAGUGCGGUAGGGGAGAUUGGAAUUCCUGGUGUAGCGGUGGAAUGCGCAGAUAUCAGGAGGAACACCGAUGGCGAAGGCAGAUCUCUGGGCCGUAACUGACGCUGAGGAGCGAAAGGGUGGGGAGCAAACAGGCUUAGAUACCCUGGUAGUCCACCCCGUAAACGUUGGGAACUAGUUGUGGGGUCCAUUCCACGGAUUCCGUGACGCAGCUAACGCAUUAAGUUCCCCGCCUGGGGAGUACGGCCGCAAGGCUAAAACUCAAAGGAAUUGACGGGGACCCGCACAAGCGGCGGAGCAUGCGG